rnacentral:rRNA from 1 species
UGACGGUACCUAACCAGAAAGCCACGGCUAACUACGUGCCAGCAGCCGCGGUAAUACGUAGGUGGCAAGCGUUAUCCGGAAUUAUUGGGCGUAAAGCGCGCGUAGGCGGUUUCUUAAGUCUGAUGUGAAAGCCCCCGGCUCAACCGUGGAGGGUCAUUGGAAACUGGGAAACUUGAGUGCAGAAGAGGAGAGUGGAAUUCCAUGUGUAGCGGUGAAAUGCGCAGAGAUAUGGAGGAACACCA